UACGUAGGGUGCGAGCGUUAAUCGGAAUUACUGGGCGUAAAGUGUGCGCAGGCGGUCGUUCAAGUCGAGUGUGAAAGCCCCCGGCUCAACUGGGGAGGGUCACUCGAUACUGAUCGACUCGAAGGCAGAAGAGGGAAGCGGAAUUCCCGGUGUAGUGGUGAAAUGCGUAGAUAUCGGGAGGAACACCAGUGGCGAAGGCGGCUUUCUGGUCUGCUCUUGACGCUGAGGCGCGAAAGCUAGGGUAGCAAACGGG
rnacentral:rRNA from 1 species